rnacentral:rRNA from 1 species
GACGAGCGCUGGCGGCGUGCUUAACACAUGCAAGUCGAACGGAAAGGCCCUGCUUUUGUGGGGUGCUCGAGUGGCGAACGGGUGAGUAACACGUGAGUAACCUGCCCUUGACUUUGGGAUAACUUCAGGAAACUGGGGCUAAUACCGGAUAGGAGCUCCUGCUGCAUGGUGGGGGUUGGAAAGUUUCGGCGGUUGGGGAUGGACUCGCGGCUUAUCAGCUUGUUGGUGGGGUAGUGGCUUACCAAGGCUUUGACGGGUAGCCGGCCUGGGAGGGUGACCGGCCACAUUGGGACUGAGAUACGGCCCAGACGCCUACGGGAGGCAGCAGUGGGGAAUAUUGCACAAUGGGCGGAAGCCUGAUGCAGCAACGCCGCGUGCGGGAUGACGGCCUUCGGGUUGUAAACCGCUUUCGCCUGUGACGAAGCGUGAGUGACGGUAAUGGGUAAAGAAGCACCGGCUAACUACGUG